CAAGGCGACGAUCCCUAGCUGGUCUGAGAGGAUGACCAGCCACACUGGAACUGAGACACGGUCCAGACUCCUACGGGAGGCAGCAGUGGGGAAUAUUGCACAAUGGGCGCAAGCCUGAUGCAGCCAUGCCGCGUGUAUGAAGAAGGCCUUCGGGUUGUAAAGUACUUUCAGCGGGGAGGAAGGUGUUGUGGUUAAUAACCGCAGCAAUUGACGUUACCCGCAGAAGAAGCACCGGCUAACUCCGUGCCAGCAGCCGCGGUAAUACGGAGGGUGCAAGCGUUAAUCGGAAUUACUGGGCGUAAAGCGCACGCAGGCGGUCUGUCAAGUCGGAUGUGAAAUCCCCGGGCUCAACCUGGGAACUGCAUUCGAAACUGGCAGGCUUGAGUCUUGUAGAGGGGGGUAGAAUUCCAGGUGUAGCGGUGAAAUGCGUAGAGAUCUGG
rnacentral:rRNA from 5 species